rnacentral:rRNA from 1 species
UACGUAGGGUGCGAGCGUUGUCCGGAAUUAUUGGGCGUAAAGGGCUCGUAGGCGGUUUGUCGCGUCGGGAGUGAAAACCAUGGGCUUAACUCAUGGCUUGCUUUCGAUACGGGCAGACUAGAGGUAUGCAGGGGAGAACGGAAUUCCUGGUGUAGCGGUGAAAUGCGCAGAUAUCAGGAGGAACACCGGUGGCGAAGGCGGUUCUCUGGGCAUGACCUGACGCUGAGGAGCGAAAGUGUGGGGAGCAAACAGG